CAUUCUUAGCGAUGGGUUACUUGGCUUUUGGAGUGAUGAAGUACGCAGCUAUUUAUGACAAUUAGUGCGAAUUAUGGACGCAUUAAGCACAAGAAUUUUGAACACACGUUGCAUGGGUUGAUUCCCGAUGAUGUAUUUAUUUGAAAGUCA
rfam:Onchocerca ochengi, WGS project CAWC01000000 data, contig: 01197_1976